CCAUUGUUUUGUGCUGAUUUGUUAGCAGUUUUACUCUCAUUGCUUUAGCACGAACAGUGUGAAAAUCAGUGAAGGAGGCAAAUAACAUCUUAAUAUUGUAAAAAUAUUUUUUACCUCAAGGAUUGCCUCCCACAGGGAUCAGGGGACUCUUCAGUCUGUUUACCAGGCUUUGAGAACUGAUGCCUUAGAUCCUUACAACCUCAUGAAAUAAGAAUACUGUCACUCAAACACACUCAGAGAUAAAAUCAUUUGCCCAGAAUCUCAGAGUUGGUGAAUGGUGGGGCUGGGCUGAGCUGAUUUGAAGCCUGUGUCCUCAUGCAUACCCCUCUGCAUUCUACCCCUGGUACUUCCUUGAACAGGUCAGAUUAUUUUGCCUCUCUCUGUCUGCAUAUGUACCUGUUUGAAAUGUUUUGUCCUUUCUCUGCAUAGCUUGAUAUUCAUCUGAAAUCAUUUUCUCCCAAGGCAGAGUUAAUUAUUUCCUCUUCUGUGUGCUCAUGCAUUUUGCUGAUAGUUUUAUUUUGGUACUAAGCUUGUUGUUUUCAUUUUUCAUAUGUUCAUUUUUUU
rnacentral:lncRNA from 1 species